AAGAUUCUCUUUCUACGUUGCUCAGUUAGGCUUUUCUCCUUUAAUUAAAAGGGAGAGUGUCUUACUAAAAUGAGGAUUAUUCUUCAGAUUGUACUAAGAUACAGGAAAAAUCAUACUUGUUCCAUUAAGCUCUUUAAUUUCCACUCUAGGAUUCAAACUGUAACAAUUAUCCUUUGUUGUAGUCUGCCUCUAUUCCUGUUAGAGACUAAAUUGAAAGGCAAAUGCUUAUUUUCCCAUUGUUAUUUGUUUAGCAACCAUGUUGUGAAGAGCUAAUUCUCAAUCUAAGCAGCACCCACUCAUUUCAUAAUGUUGGUGGUAAUUUCUACUUGCUGAAUGGGAGGUUCUUUCAUCCAAAGACUUCGAAGUGCUUGACUUGAAUAUAUGUAGCUUGACAGCAACCCAUGAUGUAGGUAAGUGUUAUCAGAACUGUGCUUAUGUAGGGAAAUGGACAGUAUAACACAGUACCAUGUAGAAAUGUCUGUAUGGUGUCGUGCAGCAGUGUUAGCUAGAGAUUACGGAGUUGUACAGUUGCAUUAGGUUUCUACUUGUGGCUUCCAGUCCGAACUAGCUUGUUUGGUGCCAGCUUGCUGAUCUUUGCUUUUUUCAUCAUGCUAUGUUAUAUCCUUUGUUCCUUGGUGAAAGUCCUGUUAUAAGUCAGCAGAAAACUGGAAAUAGUACAGAAGAAUUCCAGCUCUUGGCUCCUUGUCCUACCGCUCAGUAUUACUCCUAUUUGGGGAGGUAAGGAGGGGGAGUGAAGAUCAGGCUUUCUGUACUCAUGGUUUCCUGCUGACGUUCUCACAAGGAAGAGAGAAGAACCCAAGAAGAUGGCUGCGAGUGCUAACCAAAAGCAUGUUGUGUUUUACCAUGGAGAUGCUGUCAGAAGGUGCCAUAAGGAAGGAGGGAAAAUGUCACCUAGCAACAGAAGCCCUGAGAAGAAAACUUCCACACUCACCAGAAGAGGCAGAGCGAGCUGGAGCGUUGAGAGGAGGCACGGACAAGAGCUGAAAAGGCUGCUUGUCUGCUGCUCUGGGGCUGAGCUUAACGCUGUAGUGGUAGGUGCUCUGGGCGCAAACGCUGUGUAAAGGGAAGUUAGCAUCUCUGCCAGUGGUUUGCAUAGAACUUGGUUUGCAUAAUGGGACUUUGGGUUACUUUUUCUGUGACUCUCUAAUUUGAAUUUGAAAAUGAUAAAAUCUUAAAUCAUGAUGGGAAUCUACAUUUUAAUUUAAAAACAGCAAAAAAGUAAACUUG
rnacentral:lncRNA from 1 species